CAUUCGUUUUUACUUUGUUCAGUUUUGAGAGGUCUAACUCUCAAAACGAUUCAUCUCUAUUCAUUAGAGGUCAAUCACAUUUUGUUCUUUGAAAACUGGAUACUGUUUAAAAAGUAAUUAAAGUAAGAAACCGAGAAAACACCGCGUUUUAAAUGAGUUUUUUAAUUAGUUCUUAUCGUAAGAUAAUGAAUAAAAUCAUUGACUAACAUCAUGAGAUUCCUUCGGGAAUACCAUCGAUAAAAAUUUUGUGCUAAUGCGAAGCAAUUCGAGGAAAUGAGUGUUUGAGAAACGGAGCGUACUAGCGUACGUGAGUAUCACAAAACACGAAAUUAACGAAGAAGUGUGAAGUAGUAGUGCCAAAAUUAGGUUAAGUUAAUAAGGGCGCACGGUGGAUGCCUUGGCACUAAGAGCCGAUGAAGGACGGGACUAACUCCGAUAUGCUUUGGGGAGCUGUAAGUAAGCUUUGAUCCAAAGAUUUCCGAAUGGGGGAACCCAGCAUUUUUUAUAGAAUGUUACUGCUAGCU
rnacentral:misc_RNA from 1 species